GGGCUUGUGGUCUAGUGGUAUGAUUCUUCCUUAGCAUGGAUUUCCGAAGAUAUCCUCCCCAUCGUGGUGGUUUCUUCUCGAUCUGUUCUUGAAUCUGGAAGAGGUCCGGGGUUCAAUUCCCCGCGAGUCCA